rnacentral:rRNA from 1 species
AGAGUUUGAUCAUGGCUCAGGACGAACGCUGGCGGCGUGCCUAAUACAUGCAAGUCGAACGAAGCUUUCUUUCACCGAAUGCUUACAUUCACCGAAAGAAGCUUAGUGGCGAACGGGUGGGUAACACGUAGGCAACCUGCCCAAAAGAGGGGGAUAACACUUGGAACCAGGUGCUAAUACCGCAUAACCAUGAACACCGCAUGAUGUUCAUGUAAAAGACGGCUUUUGCUGUCACUUUUGGAUGGGCCUGCGGCGUAUUAACUUGUUGGUGGGGUAACGGCCUACCAAGGUGAUGAUACGUAGCCGAACUGAGAGGUUGAUCGGCCACAUUGGGACUGAGACACGGCCCAAACUCCUACGGGAGGCAGCAGUAGGGAAUCUUCCACAAUGGACGAAAGUCUGAUGGAGCAACGCCGCGUGAAUGAAGAAGGCCUUCGGGUCGUAAAAUUCUGUUGUCAGAGAAGAACGUGCGUGAGAGUAACUGUUUACGUAUUGACGGUAUCUGACCAGAAAGCCACGGCUAACUACGUGCCAGCAGCCGCGGUAAUACGUAGGUGGCGAGCGUUGUCCGGAUUUAUUGGGCGUAAAGGGAACGCAGGCGGUCUUUUAAGUCUGAUGUGAAAGCCUUCGGCUUAACCGAAGUAGUGCAUUGGAAACUGGAAGACUUGAGUGCAGAAGAGGAGAGUGGAACUCCAUGUGUAGCGGUGAAAUGCGUAGAUAUAUGGAAGAACACCAGUGGCGAAAGCGGCUCUCUGGUCUGUAACUGACGCUGAGGUUCGAAAGCGUGGGUAGCAAACAGGAUUAGAUACCCUGGUAGUCCACGCCGUAAACGAUGAGUGCUAAGUGUUGGAGGGUUUCCGCCCUUCAGUGCUGCAGCUAACGCAUUAAGCACUCCGCCUGGGGAGUACGGUCGCAAGACUGAAACUCAAAGGAAUUGACGGGGGCCCGCACAAGCGGUGGAGCAUGUGGUUUAAUUCGAAGCAACGCGAAGAACCUUACCAGGUCUUGACAUCUUCUGACAAUUCCAGAGAUGGAACGUUCCCUUCGGGGACAGAAUGACAGGUGGUGCAUGGUUGUCGUCAGCUCGUGUCGUGAGAUGUUGGGUUAAGUCCCGCAACGAGCGCAACCCUUAUUGUCAGUUGCCAUCAUUAAGUUGGGCACUCUGGCGAGACUGCCGGUGACAAACCGGAGGAAGGUGGGGAUGACGUCAAAUCAUCAUGCCCCUUAUGACCUGGGCUACACACGUGCUACAAUGGACGGUACAACGAGUCGCUAACUCGCGAGGGCAAGCUAAUCUCUUAAAGCCGUUCUCAGUUCGGAUUGCAGGCUGCAACUCGCCUGCAUGAAGUCGGAAUCGCUAGUAAUCGCGAAUCAGCACGUCGCGGUGAAUACGUUCCCGGGCCUUGUACACACCGCCCGUCACACCAUGAGAGUUUGUAACACCCAAAGUCGGUGGGGUAACCUUUUGGAGCCAGCCGCCUAAGGUGGGACAGAUGAUUGGGGUGAAGUCGUAACAAGGUA